UACGAAGGGUGCUAGCGUUGUUCGGAAUCACUGGGCGUAAAGCGUGCGUAGGCGGCUAUUCAAGUCAGGGGUGAAAUCCCGGAGCUUAACUCCGGAACUGCCUUUGAAACUGGAUGGCUGGAGUGUCGGAGGGGAUAGCGGAAUUUCUAAUGUAGCGGUGAAAUGCGUAGAUAUUAGAAGGAACACCGGUGGCGAAGGCGGCUAUCUGGACGACAACUGACGCUGAGGCACGAAAGCGUGGGGAUCAAACAGG
rnacentral:rRNA from 1 species